GAAGUAAAAAGUCGUAACAAGGUUUCCGUAGGUGAACCUGCGGAAGGAUCAUUGAUGACCCCCUGCACGACCGCGAACUCGAUGUCCCGCAUGCUCGCGCGUGGGGGUGCGGUUGCGCAUCGCACCCCCGCGCCCGCUCGCCCCCGGGGCGAGGAUCCCACAAGGCGCGCCUGGGCGCGCCAAGGAACGGAUGUGUGGGCGGCGGGGGGACGUCCCCCGCCCCGGCACGAGUCUUUGUACCACAACCAAACGACUCUCGGCAACGGAUAUCUCGGCUCUCGCAUCGAUGAAGAACGUAGCGAAAUGCGAUACUUGGUGUGAAUUGCAGAAUCCCGUGAACCAUCGAGUCUUUGAACGCAAGUUGCGCCCGAGGCGUUUCCGUCGAGGGCAUGCCUCCCUGGGCUUCACGCAUCGCGUCGCCCCCCGUCCCGACGCGGCACGACCGUGCCGUCGCGGCGGGGGGCGCAGUGUGGCAUCCCGUCCGCGCGCGCGCCUGCGCGCAUCGGUUUGCCGAAAUACGACGCGUCCCGCGCGAGACGCCGCGCGCAGUGGUGGUUGGCCCAGAAACCCGCUUACCGGCCGCGGCAUGUUCUCGCGCAGUGUUCCCCGUCCGGCGUCAGGACGACGCCCACGACGCGAACCCAGGUGAGGCGGGACCACCCGCUGAGUUUAAGCAUAUCAAUAG
rnacentral:rRNA from 1 species